CCAUCACAGAGGCAGGUCCGAUCUCUGCGACGUGACANUGUCACGUCGCAGAGAUCGGACCUGCCUCUGUGAUGG
rnacentral:miRNA from 14 species